GACGAACGCUGGCGGCGUGCCUAAUACAUGCAAGUCGAGCGAACCCGGGGUGCUUGCACCCUGAGGGUUAGCGGCGGACGGGUGAGUAACACGUGGGGAACCUGCCUUGCUGUCUGGGAUAACACCGGGAAACCGGAGCUAAUACCGGAUGUCCCCUUUCCGGCACCUGCCAGAGAGGGAAAAGGAGGCUUUGAGCCGCCGCAGCAAGAGGGGCCCGCGGCGCAUUAGUUAGUUGGCAGGGUAACGGCCUCCCAAGGCGACGCUGCGUAGCCGACCUGAGGGGGUGAUCGGCCACACUGGGACUGAGACACGGCCCAGACGCCUACGGGAGGCAGCAGUAGGGAAUCAUCCGCAAUGGACGAAAGUCUGACGGUGCAACGCCGCGUGAGUGAUGAAGGUUUUCGGAUCGUAAAGCUCUGUUGUGAGGGAAGAAUAGGAUGGGGAGGAAAUGCCCGAUCUGUGACGGUACCUCACCAGAAAGCCCCGGCUAACUACGUGCCAGCCGCCGCGGUAA
rnacentral:rRNA from 1 species